UGGGAUGACGUCAAUCAGCACGGCCCUUAUGUCCAGGGCUACACACGUGUUACAAUGGUCGGUACAGAGGGCAGCUACCUGGUGACAGGAUGCUAAUCUCGAAAACCGGUCUCAGUUCGGAUCGAAGUCUGCAACUCGACUUCGUGAAGCUGGAUUCGCUAGUAAUCGCGCAUCAGCUAUGGCGCGGUGAAUACGUUCCCGGGCCUU
rnacentral:rRNA from 1 species